rnacentral:rRNA from 1 species
AUUGAACGCUGGCGGCAUGCUUUACACAUGCCAGUCGAACGGUAACAGGGUUACGGGUGCUGCCGACUGGCGACCGGGGGCGUAAUGCUUCGGAACGUACCCGGAUCUACGGUUUAAUGCAGGGAAAGGUGUGCUAAUUUCGCAUGUGACCUGAGGCUGCAUACGGGGGACAGCACGGGAACUUUUGACCUCGCGCCUUUGGAGGAGCCGAUGUCGGAUUAGCUAGUUGGUGGGGUAAAGGCCUACCAAGGCGACGAUCCGUAGCUGGUCUGAGAGGACGACCAGCCACACUGGGACUGAGACACGGCCCAGACUCCUACGGGAGGCAGCAGUGGGGAAUUUUGGACAAUGGGCGCAAGCCUGAUCCAGCAAUGCCGCGUGCGGGAAGAAGGCCUUCGGGUUGUAAAGCGCUUUUGUUAGGAACGAAACGGAGUCGGCUAAUACCCGGCGCUAAUGACGGUACCUGCAGAAUAAGCACCGGCUAACUUCGUG